CUGGCGGCAGGCCUAACACAUGCAAGUCGAACGGUAGCACAGAGAGCUUGCUCUCGGGUGACGAGUGGCGGACGGGUGAGUAAUGUCUGGGAAACUGCCUGAUGGAGGGGGAUAACUACUGGAAACGGUAGCUAAUACCGCAUAACGUCGCAAGACCAAAGAGGGGGACCUUCGGGCCUCUUGCCAUCAGAUGUGCCCAGAUGGGAUUAGCUAGUAGGUGGGGUAACGGCUCACCUAGGCGACGAUCCCUAGCUGGUCUGAGAGGAUGACCAGCCACACUGGAACUGAGACACGGUCCAGACUCCUACGGGAGGCAGCAGUGGGGAAUACUGCACAAUGGGCGCAAGCCUGAUGCAGCCAUGCCGCGUGUAUGAAGAAGGCCUUCGGGUUGUAAAGUACUUUCAGCGGGGAGGAAGGUGUUGCGGUUAAUAACCGCAGCAAUUGACGUUACCCGCAGAAGAAGCACCGGCUAACUCCGUGCCAGCAGCCGCGGUAAUACGGAGGGUGCAAGCGUUAAUCGGAAUUACUGGGCGUAAAGCGCACGCAGGCGGUCUGUCAAGUCGGAUGUGAAAUCCCCGGGCUCAACCUGGGAACUGCAUUCGAAACUGGCAGGCUAGAGUCUUGUAGAGGGGGGUAGAAUUCCAGGUGUAGCGGUGAAAUGCGUAGAGAUCUGGAGGAAUAC
rnacentral:rRNA from 1 species